GGAUUGUGGCUCAGCGGUAGAGCACUUGCCUAGCAUUCGCGGGGGCCCUAUGUUCGAUCCUCAGCACCA
rnacentral:tRNA from 1 species